rnacentral:rRNA from 1 species
CCUACGGGGGGCUGCAGUGGGGAAUUUUCCGCAAUGGGCGCAAGCCUGACGGAGCAAUACCGCGUGAGGGAGGACGGCUUUUGGGUUGUAAACCUCUUUUAUUGGGGAAGAAGUUCUGACGGUACCCAAUGAAUCAGCAUCGGCUAACUCCGUGCCAGCAGCCGCGGUAAUACGGAGGAUGCAAGCGUUAUCCGGAAUUAUUGGGCGUAAAGCGUCCGCAGGUGGUUUUACAAGUCUGCUGUCAAAGCAUGGAGCUUAACUCCAUUAGGGCAGUG